ACACGGCCCAGACUCCUACGGGAGGCAGCGGUGGGGAAUAUUGCGCAACGGACGAAAGUCUGACUGCAGUCGACGCCGCGUGGAGGAUGAAGGUUUUCGGAUCGUAAACUCCUGUCAAGAGGGAAGAAACCUGUUGAGAAUAAUACUUUCAGCAAUUGACGGUACCUCUAGAGGAAGCACCGGCUAAUUCAGUGCCAGCAGCCGCGGUAAUACUGAAGGUGCAAGCGUUAAUCGGAAUCACUGGGACGUAAAGCGCUCGUAGGUGGCUUUGUAAGUCAGGUGUGAAAGCCCACGGCUCAACCGUGGAAUUGCACUCGAUAGUUGCAUCACUAGAGUAUAGGAGAGGGAAGUGGAAUUUCUGGUGUAGGAGUNAAAUCCGUAGAGAUCAGAAGGAACACCCGUGGCGAAGGCGACUUCCUGGACUAUUACUGACACUGAGGAGCGAAAGCGUGGGGAGCAAACAGGAUUAGAUACCCUGGUAGUCCACGCCGUAAACGAUGGGUAAUAGGUGUCGGGGGCUUGGCCUUCGGUGCCGUAGUUANCGCGGUAAGU
rnacentral:rRNA from 1 species